rnacentral:tRNA from 1 species
GAGGGUAUAGCUCCGGGGUAAAGCUCAUGCUUAGCAUGCACGAGGUCCUGGGUUCAAUCCCCAGUCCCUCCA